rnacentral:rRNA from 1 species
CUACGGGGGGCAGCAGUGGGGAAUAUUGCACAAUGGAGGAAACUCUGAUGCAGCAACGCCGCGUGGAGGAUGACACUUUUCGGAGCGUAAACUCCUUUUAUAUAGGAAGAAGAUGACGGUACUAUAUGAAUAAGCGCCGGCUAACUCCGUGCCAGCAGGCCGCGGUAAUACGGAGGGCGCAAGCGUUACUCGGAAUCACUGGGCGUAAAGAGCGUGUAGGCGGAUUAAAAAGUCAGAAGUGAAAUCCUAUAGCUUAACUAUAGAACUGCUUCUGAAACUCUUAAUCUAGAAUAUGUGAGAGGUAGAUGGAAUUUCUGGUGUAGGGGUAAAAUCCGUAGAGAUCAGAAGGAAUACCGAUUGCGAAGGCGAUCUACUAGAACAUUAUUGACGCUGAGACGCGAAAGCGUGGGGAGCAAACAGGAUUAGAUACCCGAGUAGUC